AACGUAGGACACAAGCGUUAUCCGGAGUUACUGGGCGUAAAGGGCGUGUAGGCGGAGAUGUAAGUCUAUUCUGAAAGCUCCUGGCUAAACUGGGAGAGGCGAAUGGAGACUGCAUAUCUAGAGUGAGGAAGAGGAAAGUGGAAUUCCACGUGUAGCAGUGAAAUGCGUAGAGAUGUGGAGGAACACCGAUGGCGAAGGCAGCCUCCUGGGCCAGCACUGACGCUCAUGCACGAAAGCGUGGGGAGCAAACAGG
rnacentral:rRNA from 1 species